AGAGUUUGAUCCUGGCUCAGGAUGAACGCUAGCUACAGGCUUAACACAUGCAAGUCGAGGGGCAGCAUGAAGUUUGCUUGCAAACUUUGAUGGCGACCGGCGCACGGGUGAGUAACGCGUAUCCAACCUGGCCCUUAGUAGGGGAUAGCCCGGCGAAAGUCGGAUUAAUACCCUAUGUUCUUCGUCGAGGACAUCUGAAAUGAAGCAAAGGUUUACCGCUAAGGGAUGGGGAUGCGUCUGAUUAGGUAGUCGGCGGGGUAACGGCCCACCGAGCCAUCGAUCAGUAGGGGUUCUGAGAGGAAGGUCCCCCACAUUGGAACUGAGACACGGUCCAAACUCCUACGGGAGGCAGCAGUGAGGAAUAUUGGUCAAUGGGCGUGAGCCUGAACCAGCCAAGUAGCGUGCGGGACGACGGCCCUAUGGGUUGUAAACCGCUUUUGCAGGGGAAUAAAGUGGCCCACGUGUGGGUUUUUGCAUGUACCCUGAGAAUAAGGACCGGCUAAUUCCGUGCC
rnacentral:rRNA from 1 species